AUUGAACGCUGGCGGCAGGCCUAACACAUGCAAGUCGAGCGGAAACGAUCCUAGCUUGCUAGGAGGCGUCGAGCGGCGGACCGGGUGAGUAACGCGUGAGAAUCUACCCAUGAGUGGGGGACAACCCGGGGGAAACUACGGGGCUAAUACCGCAUACGCCCUACGGGGUAAAGCAGGGGACCUUCGGGCCUUGCGCUGAUGGAUGAGCUCGCGUCGGAUUAGCUUGUUGGUGAGGUAAAGGCUCACCAAGGCGACGAUCCGUAGCUGGUCUGAGAGGAUGAUCAGCCACACCGGGACUGAGACACGGCCCGGACUCCUACGGGAGGCAGCAGUGGGGAAUCUUGGACAAUGGGGGCAACCCUGAUCCAGCCAUGCCGCGUGUGUGAAGAAGGCCUUCGGGUUGUAAAGCACUUUCAGCAGGGAGGAAGGCUUACCCCUAAUACGGGUGAGUACUUGACGUUACCUGCAGAAGAAGCACCGGCUAAUUUCGUG
rnacentral:rRNA from 1 species